GAUGAACGCUGGCGGCGUGCCUAAUACAUGCAAGUCGAGCGAACAGACGAGGAGCUUGCUCCUCGGACGUUAGCGGCGGACGGGUGAGAAACACGUGGAUAACCUACCUAUAAGACUGGGAUAACUUCGGGAAACCGGAUCUAAUACCGGAUAAUAUAUUGAACCGCAUGGUUCAAUAGUGAAAGACGGUUUUGCUGGCACUUAUAGAUGGAUCCGCGCCGCAUUAGCUAGUUGGUAAGGUAACGGCUUACCAAGGCAACGAUGCGUAGCCGACCUGAGAGGGGGAUAGGCGACAUUGGAACUGAGACACGGUCAAGACGCCUGCGGGAGGCCGCAGUAGGGAAUCGUCCGCAAUGGGCGAAAGCCUGACGGAGUAACGCCGAGCGAGUGAUGAAGGUCUUCGGAGCGUAAAACUGUGUUAUUAGGGAAGAACAAAUGUGUAAGUAAAUAUGCACGGAUUGACGGUACCUAAUAAGAAAGCAACGGCUAACUACGUG
rnacentral:rRNA from 1 species